CUGGAGUCCAUGUGUCGUAGGAGUUCGUCCGAAAUCUGUCCGCUACAGAAGUUCAAUCGGAGUCCGAUCUCCGUAGAAGCCCGGAUGGGGAUCAUUUGUCGAAGAAGCUCAGCCGAAGCCUGCAGUAGAAGCUCGGAGUAGAUCGCUUGCAGUAGAAGCUCGGAGUAGAUCGCUUGCAGUAGAAGCUCGGAGUAGAUCGCUUGCAGUAGAAGCUCGAAGUCCGACCCUUGUAGGAGUUCGAAUGAGGUCUACCUGCAACAGAAAUUCAGGGCGGAAGUUCGGCUCCCAUAGGAGCUCGGAUGAAGUCC
rnacentral:lncRNA from 1 species